GAUGAACGCUGGCGGCGUGCCUAAUACAUGCAAGUCGAGCGAACAGACGAGGAGCUUGCUCCUCUGACGUUAGCGGCGGACGGGUGAGUAACACGUGGAUAACCUACCUAUAAGACUGGGAUAACUUCGGGAAACCGGAGCUAAUACCGGAUAAUAUAUUGAACCGCAUGGUUCAAUAGUGAAAGACGGUUUUGCUGUCACUUAUAGAUGGAUCCGCGCCGCAUUAGCUAGUUGGUAAGGUAACAGCUUACCAAGGCAACGAUGCGUAGCCGACCUGAGAGGGUGAUCGGCCACACUGGAACUGAGACACGGCCCAGACUCCUACGGGAGGCAGCAGUAGGGAAUCUUCCGCAAUGGGCGAAAGCCUGACGGAGCAACGCCGCGUGAGUGAUGAAGGUCUUCGGAUCGUAAAACUCUGUUAUUAGGGAAGAACAAAUGUGUAAGUAACUAUGCACGUCUUGACGGUACCUAAUCAGAAAGCCACGGCUAACUACGUG
rnacentral:rRNA from 1 species